GUGAGGAAUAUUGGUCAAUGGGCGAGAGCCUGAACCAGCCAAGUAGCGUGCAGGAAGACUGCCCUAUGGGUUGUAAACUGCUUUUAUAGGGGAAUAAAGUGAGGUAUGCAUACCUUUUUGUAUGUACCCUAUGAAUAAGGACCGGCUAAUUCCGUGCCAGCAGCCGCGGUAAUACGGAAGGUCCGGGCGUUAUCCGGAUUUAUUGGGUUUAAAGGGAGCGCAGGCGGGAGGAUAAGCGUGUUGUGAAAUGUACCGGCUCAACCGGUGAUGUGCAGCGCGAACUGUUUUCCUUGAGUGAGUACGACGUCAGCGGAAUUCGUGGUGUAGCGGUGAAAUGCUUAGAUAUCACGAAGAACCCCGAUUGCGAAGGCAGCUGACGAGUCCUUAACUGACGCUAAAGCUCGAAAGUGCGGGUAUCGAACAGGAUUAGAAACCCGAGUAGUCC
rnacentral:rRNA from 1 species